rnacentral:rRNA from 1 species
CCUACGGGUGGCAGCAGUGGGGAAUAUUGCACAAUGGGGGAAACCCUGAUGCAGCGACGCCGCGUGAGUGAGGACGUAUUUCGGUAUGUAAAGCUCUAUCAGCAGGGAAGAAAAUGACGGUACCUGACUAAGAAGCUCCGGCUAACUACGUGCCAGCAGCCGCGGUAAUACGUAGGGAGCAAGCGUUAUCCGGAUUGACUGGGUGUAAAGGGCGCGUAGAUGGCUUAACAAGUCAGAAGUGAAACCCCUGGGCUCAACCUGUGGACUGCUUUUGAGACUGGAGAGAUAGAGUGCAGUAGAGGUAAGCGGAAUUCCUAGUGUAGCGGUGAAAUGCGUAGAGAUUAGGAGGAACACCAGUGGCGAAGGCGGCUUACUGGACUGUAACUGACGUUGAGGCUCGAAAGCGUGGGUAGCAAACAGGAUUAGAUACCCCUGUAGUC